rnacentral:rRNA from 1 species
GCGCGAAAACUUUACAAUGCUGGAAACCGUGAUAAGGGAAUCUCGAGUGCCAGCAUAUAAUGUUGGCUGUCCAGAUGCCUAAAAAGCAUCUGUUAGCAAGGGCCGGGCAAGACCGGUGCCAGCCGCCGCGGUAACACCGGCGGCCCGAGUGGUAUCCGCUUUUAUUGGGUCUAAAGGGUCUGUAGCCGGCCAAGUAAGUCCCUUGGGAAAUCUGGCAGCUUAACUGUCAGGCUGCUAGGGGAUACUGCUAGGCUUGGGACCGGGAGAGGUGAGAGGUACCUUGGGGGUAGGGGUGAAAUCUUGUGAUCCUCGGGGGACCACCAGUGGCGAAGGCGUCUCACCAGAACGGGUCCGACGGUAAGGGACGAAAGCUAGGGGCACGAACCG